rnacentral:rRNA from 1 species
GUGCCAGCAGCCGCGGUAAUACAGAGGAGCCAAGCGUUGUCCGGAUUGACUGGGCGUAAAGCGCACGCAGGCGGGUGCGCGCGUGGGGUGUGAAAUCUGGCCGCUUAACGGCCAGGCGCCAUCCCAUACGGCGCGCCUGGAGUGCUGCAGAGGUCGGUGGAAUUGCCGGUGUAGUGGUGAAAUGCGUAGAGAUCGGCAGGAACACCCAGGGGGAAACCAGCCGACUGGGCAGCGACUGACGCUGAGGUGCGAGAGCGUGGGGAGCGAACCGGAUUAGAUACCCGGGUAGUCC